rnacentral:lncRNA from 1 species
CUCGGAAAUAAGUCUGAAUGGCACAGAUGAAUAUCAGCACAAUGUAUUAAUUCUGAACGGUAAAUGUUGUGAAGAUAUUAAAAAGUUUGUUUCUGUCAUACAUAUUUCCAAGCGAAAAUUAACUUGCUUUCCAGAAGAGCAGUAUUAAAAAGACUUCGACAACUUAAGCCCGUUUUCAACUUCACCAUUUCGCUUGCCGCCCCGCGCUCGACUAUGUUAAAACAACAUUUCCAGUUCACCUUUUAUACAAUAGUACUCUGAUUUUCCAUUUAACAUACAAGCCUCUAUAGUCCUGGGAUAGGGUACAUUUUGAUUUACGUUGGACAAAGCUACAGUUCGGUUGGACAGCAAUACACUCGGGUCAGACAAACAAUAAACCUCAGUUUCACUUAGGUCGGACAGAAUGUCCGGUGGGUUCCUCAGUACGUCGGACAAUUUCACGAAUGGGUCGGACAAUGUCCGUGACCGACCGAUAUUUUAAGGCCUGCAUACGAUAGAGC